ACCGAGUGCACCUUCAAAAACACGAAUUCUUGACCAGUAGUGCCAGUGCCACCAGAAGAGAUGAUCCGAAACGUUUCGUGAACGAAAGUCAUACAGGUCUGGAACAACAUGACCAUUCAGUUUGAAGUCACUGGCCACUACACUUAUUUAAACUCAGACCUGUUUGAAUCCCGUGUGUCCAGAUUGUUUCACUGAACAAUGCCGCCCAGUAUGUGUUCAGGCCCACUGGCCCCACGGUUACUGCUCUAGGAGCGGGAACCGGGACAGGAGCUGACACAAAGCAGCUGUCUGAGAUCACUAGAGUGGCAGGAAGUCCUGCCAACAUCUGGUCCUUCUAUUAAGAGACCCUCGAGAAUCAGAGCAGGCGACAGCAGGCAGACUCUAAAGGAGGACGCUGUGCCCUGGAAGCUGGAAUGUGACACAGAGAAGGCAGGAGGCAGAAAUAUUCAC